UGUCUUUUGCUGAAGCAAAUAAUUCUUAGAUGGCUAUUCUGUGUGAGGUUGGCAAAAAAACGUACGAGUUUCCUAAUUUCUUCUCUAUUUUUUAUAAAAGUUAAAUUAUAUUAAUCAAAAAGGAGAAAAUCCCUAUACAAGAAGUAUACCAAAAAGUAGAGAAUUUAAAUCAAAACAUGAUUCUCUACAAAAGAUGCCCCCUAAUUUUUAUCGUAGCCUUCUACAUGAAAUCUAUAUCCAUUAACAAUGUAACCAUUCAAAUAUGUCGUAUAUUGGGUAGGACCACGUGAAAGUGAGAGCAGUUCUUCUAUGAUAAAACUAUCAUCUCCUUUAUGCAAUCGUUGAUUAAUUUUAUGUUUGCAUUUAAAGAUAUACUUUAUCUUAUGUCAUGAAAUAUUUAUGCAGUUAUAGAGUAGAAUACAAUGUUCUACGCAGAUAUAUUAAUAAAUCAACUAAGUGAAAGAAUGGUGCUUUGGUCAUUAAUGUUGCCUUCUAUAUUGGCUAGAAAGUUCUUGUUCAUAGUUGACCACUCUCCUGUUUUAGUUGGGAUCGACACUCCUGUAUAAGCGUUCGAUGCCUGCUAAGCCUCUCCAUCGAGAUACAUCUGUCAUCAUUCUAUGAAGGUGCUAGAGGAUUACAUAUACCAUCUUGUUAUCAGACAAGGGGUUGCUCUGAUGGUAAGAGACCUUCACUUCCAAUCGAGAGAUUGUGAGUUCGAGUCUCCCCAAGAGCAAGGUGAGAAGUUCUUGGAGGGAAGAUGCCGGGGGUCUAUUUGGAAACAGCUUCUCUACCCAAGGUAGGGGUAAGGUAUGCGUACACACUACCCUCCCCAGAUCCCAUUUAGUGGGAUUAUACUGGGUUGUUGUUGUUUACCUCAUCUUAAAGUACCACUGAAGUCAUAGACCCAACAGAUAUUUGUGCAGUUGCACUGAUAUAUGCGUAAAAGCUUCGGCGUACUUUUAUCCUCUGUAAGAGACUCUUCUAAGCUCAAUUCUGAUCAUGUAGCUUUAUAUGAUUUCUUGCUGUGUUUAUUCAAUUGUUUGCCACAGUGACAUUCUGUAUUGGUCUGAACAUGCCUGCAAAAACUGUUGUCUUCACAAAUGUUUGCAAUUUGAUGGAGACAAGUUUAGGUGGAUAUCUAGUGGUGUGUAUAUUCAGAUGAGGGGUCGUCGGGGGAUUGAUGAACGUGGGAUCUGCAUCCUUAUGGUUGACGAGAAGCUUAAACCUCCUACAGUGAAAUCCAUGCUAAAAGGAAGUGCUGCUGAUGCAUUAAACAGUUGCAAGAUAACUAUUUUGGGAAUUACAUACUACAUUCUGAUUAUGUUAUGUUAAAAAGCAGAAAAAAAGGGCUCGAUCGGGACACGACAAGCCCGAACAUCGGACGAAAUCCGAAAUAUCCCAGCCUUUAUGUAGUUGUACUAAAGUGAUCCACCCUCAGUCGCUAGUAUAGGUAACUAAAAAACAGAAGAAAAAAUUGAAGAGUGUACCCUCCUCCUUCAAGAUCCAUCACGUUUAUUUUUCUUUUGUUAAUGUUAGAGGGCACUUCAAAAAAGAAUUUUUUGUUAGAUGGCACUUUUGUAUCCUUGCACCCUUUGUUAUUUAUAUGUUUAUUCAUUCUUCUUCUUCUGAGUCAGUGGACUACAUUGCACAGACCUCAACCUCUUUUGAAUGAUUUUCUAGAACGAUGAUAGUCCCUUUUUCCUUUUCUUCUGCUUUCUUUCUUCAUUUACCUGGAAAAUAAGUUAAGUCUCCUCAUAUUGGACACUUUGUACAUUUAUCUGCACUUCGCGCGGUAAGUAAGUAGAUUUAGAAAUAACCUUUUAAUCACAUAAAUUUAGAUAAAAAGAGAUAAAAUAUUUCUAUGCUUGGAGCCAAAACUUUUUUCCUCUACUUACACAAAGCACAAAAAGAAAUAGAACUAUCCACUAAUUAAGCUGAUACCAUAGAAAUUGAUCAAAAGAAAAAGAAAAGUGUUUUUUCCUUUUGGAUUGAAUGUCACUCCUAUCAAUAAAUAUAUGUUAGAUCCUAUUUUGAUAUUAUUCUUUUCACUGAACCAUGUUAUAUAUUUAACAUUUAGCUAAGGUUUUAAGUAAGGUGAUUAUUCUAAACAGAACCAGUAAUCAAACCUCUUUCCAGGUAAGAUGAUUAUUCUAAACAGAACCAGUAAUCAAACCUCUUUCCAUAAUGGUUAACUCUUGAAUAUGGAAGAAACGAAAGGGUAAACGAAUUUUAAAUCUUUUCCACAAUUAACUUACACAGUUUAGUUUUAAAGAUAGUAGUGUAACAAAGUUUAGAUUUAAUUCUAAGAAAUGGCGAUCUUUGGUUAGAGCCAGGACUCUUUUUUCCCACUAACAAAUGGUACAAAAAACAAAAAGAAUUAUCACAAGAGUUCUUGAAAAGUUAAACAUAAAUUAAAAGGGUGCAUAUAAAAUUCGAUUUAUCUGCUUCUACCUGUGGCCUUUGAUGCACUAUGAUAUAUGGUAUAAUCUCAAAUAUCUCGCUUCAGAAUAGUUGUUAAGAUUAUGUUAAUCCUAUUAACAAAAGAGAAAAGGAAACCAUUUUGUUUAAAUGAAGAGAAACAACAACAAUACAAUAGAAUAGAACAAUAACACUUAUUUCUAUGAUACUAUAAGUAUUUAAAUCAGAAAAUUACCGUUGAAUUGCUUAUCAUGAAUAACAUAAUACUGAGCGAAUUUACAGAAAGUAAUAAAAUACUUCUAGUUCAAUCACUUUUGUAGGAGAACAAUUUAAAGGUAGAAGACCUUUAAAUGUAAGAAGGAAAGAGAAUUUGUUUAGUUGAUAAAUGAAGAAAUUGAGGUAGUUUGGAAUGUUUAAUAUAUGUACCUAUAUGGAGAGAGACUUUUGUAAUUCUUCAACUUUUAUUACACAAGGGAUCACUUUGGUACNNNN
rnacentral:lncRNA from 1 species